rnacentral:snRNA from 1 species
GUGCUCACUUCAGCAGCAUAUAUAUACUAAAACUGGAAUGAUACAGAAAAGCUGAGAAGGGCCUCUGUGUAAGGCUGACACGUAAAUUCAUGAAGAAUUGUAGGAGCAG